rfam:Perkinsus marinus ATCC 50983 gcontig_1104296118704, whole genome shotgun sequence.
CACCUGGUUGAUCCUGCCAGUAGUCAUAUGCUUGUCUCAAAGAUUAAGCCAUGCAUGUCUAAGUAUAAGCUUUAAACGGCGAAACUGCGAAUGGCUCAUUAAAACAGUUAUAGUUUAUUUGGUGAUCGAUUACUAUUUGGAUAACCGUAGUAAUUCUAGAGCUAAUACAUGCGUCAAGGCCCGACUUCGGAAGGGCUGCGUUUAUUAGAUACAGAACCAACCUAGGCUCCGCCUAGUCCUUGUUGGUGAUUCAUAAUAACCCGGCGAAUCGCACGGCUUGUCCGGCGAUGGACCAUUCAAGUUUCUGACCUAUCAGCUAUGGACGGUAGGGUAUUGGCCUACCGUGGCGUUGACGGGUAACGGGGAAUUAGGGUUCGAUUCCGGAGAGGGAGCCUGAGAAACGGCUACCACAUCUAAGGAAGGCAGCAGGCGCGCAAAUUACCCAAUCCUGAUACAGGGAGGUAGUGACAAGAAAUAACAAUACAGGGCAAUUCUGUCUUGUAAUUGGAAUGAGUAGAUUUUAAAUCUCUUUACGAGUAUCAAUUGGAGGGCAAGUCUGGUGCCAGCAGCCGCGGUAAUUCCAGCUCCAAUAGCGUAUAUUAAAGUUGUUGCGGUUAAAAAGCUCGUAGUUGGAUUUCUGCCUUGGGCGACCGAUCCACCUUUCCUACGGGAUUGGUCGGUAUCACGUUUGACCUUGGCUUUUUCUUGGGAUUCGUGCUCACGUACUUAACUGUGCGUUGACCGUGUUCCAAGACUUUUACUUUGAGGAAAUUAGAGUGUUUCAAGCAGGCUUAUGCCAUGAAUACAUUAGCAUGGAAUAAUAGGAUAUGACUUCGGUCAUAUUUUGUUGGUUUCUAGGACUGAAGUA